rnacentral:rRNA from 1 species
GUCUAAGGCCACACCACCCUGAAUGUACCUGAUCUCAUCUGAUCCCAGAAGCUAAGCAGAAUCGGGCUUGGUUAUACUGGGAUGGAGACUAGAGGGCUGUGACAUCUUUAGAUA